rnacentral:rRNA from 1 species
UGCCAGCCGCCGCGGUAAUACGGAGGGGGUUAGCGUUGUUCGGAAUUACUGGGCGUAAAGCGUACGUAGGCGGAUUGGAAAGUAUAGGGUGAAAUCCCGAGGCUCAACCUCGGAACUGCCUUGUAAACUAUCAGUCUAGAGUUCGAGAGAGGUGAGUGGAAUUCCAAGUGUAGAGGUGAAAUUCGUAGAUAUUUGGAGGAACACCAGUGGCGAAGGCGGCUCACUGGCUCGAUACUGACGCUGAGGUACGAAAGUGUGGGGAGCAAACAGGAUUAGAUA